AGACGGGUGAGUAACAUGUAGGUAUCUGCCCUUUGGCCUGGAAUAACACGAGGAAACUUGUGCUAAUACCGGAUAAGUCUUUACGGAGAAAGCUUUAUGCACCAUUGGAUGAGCCUGCACUUGAUUAGUUUGUUGGUAGGGUAAUGGCCUACCAAGACUGUGAUCAAUAGCUGAUUUGAGAGGAUGAUCAGCCACAUUGGGACUGAGACACGGCCCAAACUCCUACGGGAGGCAGCAGUGGGGAAUCUUGCACAAUGGAGGAAACUCUGAUGCAGCGAUGCCGCGUGAGUGAAGAAGGCCUUUGGGUUGUAAAGCUCUUUCGUCGGGGAAGAAAAUGACUGUACCCGAAUAAGAAGGUCCGGCUAACUUCGUGCCAGCAGCCGCGGUAAUACGAAGGGACCUAGCGUAGUUCGGAAUUACUGGGCUUAAAGAGUUCGUAGGUGGUUGAAAAAGUUGGUGGUGAAAUCCCAGAGCUUAACUCUGGAACUGCCAUCAAAACUUUUCAGCUAGAGUAUGAUAGAGGAAAGCAGAAUUUCUAGUGUAGAGGUGAAAUUCGUAGAUAUUAGAAAGAAUACCAAUUGCGAAGGCAGCUUUCUGGAUCAUUACUGACACUGAGGAACGAAAGCAUGGGUAGCGAAGAGGAUUAGAUACCCUCGUAGUCCAUGCCGUAAACGAUGUGUGUUAGACGUUGGAAAUUUAUUUUCAGUGUCGCAGCGAAAGCGAUAAACACACCGCCUGGGGAGUACGACCGCAAGGUUAAAACUCAAAUGAAUUGACGGGGACCCGCACAAGUAGUGGAGCAUGUGGUUUAAUUCGAAGAUACGCGCAGAACCUUACCAACACUUGACAUGUUCGUCGCGACUUUAAGAGAUUAAAGUUUUCGGUUCGGCCGGACGAAACACAGGUGCUGCAUGGCUGUCGUCAGCUCGUGUCGUGAGAUGUUGGGUUAAGUCCCGCAACGAGCGCAACCCUCACUUUUAGUUGCCAUCAUUUAGUUGGGCACUCUGAAAGAACUGCCAGUGAUAAGCUGGAGGAAGGUGGGGAUGACGUCAAGUCCUCAUGGCCCUUACGUGUUGGGCUACACACGUGCUACAAUGGUAUCUACAACAGGAAGCAAAACUGCGAGGUUAAGCAAAUCCUCAAAAGAUACCUCAGUUCGGAUUGCACUCUGCAACUCGAGUGCAUGAAGCUGGAAUUACUAGUAAUCGUGGAUCAGCGUGCCACGGUGAAUGCGUUCCCGGGUCUUGUACACACCGCCCGUCACACCAUGGGAGUUGGUUCUACCUUAAGGCAAGGCUUUAUACCCUUGACCACGGUAUAGUCAGCGACUGGGGUGAAGUCGUAACAAGGUAGCCGUAGGGGAACCUGCGGCUG
rnacentral:rRNA from 1 species